rnacentral:lncRNA from 1 species
AAGAGAGUAACAGAAUUUAACUUUAUUAACGUUUUUAUCUAGCGCUUACUGAACGUUAACAGGCCUGUACGCGGACGUUAGUCGAGAAAUAUAGUUUAUAAAUUGUUAACUUAUAAAAAUUUAUUUAAGAACUUUUAGAUUUUUCUCCAAAGACGAUGAUGUAUAGGCUAUAUAUAAAAAAAAGAGUUAAAAACUGUUAUUAUUUUUUUAUCAAAGGAACAUCGAGUCUAUUAUUCGUCGAGUAACGACCAUUAAUACAGCGUACGUUUCUGUAUAUAACUGUCUAUUGUGUUUCUUUAGGGACCACCCCAGUAAACAAGGCUGCGGGAUCUGUUGUACUUUUUGUGUCCAUUAAAUGACAGAACAGAUGUAGACAGGAAUCAGCCAAGCAGAACGAUGAAUUCUUCUGCUAUCCUCUCAAACACAAUUAAUUGCAAAGAGGAUAGAAACCAACGCAAUGGUCUUUGCAGAUUCGUUCAUCUGUGCACAAACCAAAACUCAUUUCUGGAGGGAAACCUAACUGUAGACAAAUGGAGACUAUCGAAUGAUUUGAAUCUUUUUCGGUUCAACAGUUAUUUAAAUAGUAAAGCGUCGGACGAGGAGAAAAAAAUCGAAAUUUAUGUUUAAAAAAAAAAAAAAAAACAAAACAAAACAGGUGCACGCUUGAUUUAUAAUAAGACGGUUGGGAAUUGACUGCACACCUUAUCCUGUUUCCUUAUUAACGAUUAAUAGAUAGCCGCAAAUACGCAAUAAUUUACCAGAAUAUACCUGUUCUUCUUCGAAAAUUAAAGGACACGUUGUUACCAAGCAAAACGUUUCCUAACCAUAGGUUACGCCUCCAGAAGAGGAGAAUUUCCAUUGUAUAAGAUCUUAAUAGGUAACCAAGUCUGUAAAUAAACUCUCUUCCUCGAGUUAAAAGGAAAAUAUUUUAAUUCUGCUCUCAUGAAUAAUUACCUUUUCCUUUCCUUCUUUUCUAGAAAGAGACCAGAAAAUUAAUAAAUUUUAGAUAAAGACAACAACAACAACAACAGAAAUUAAUGCAAUUUUAUCAUCAAAAAAAAAAACUUUUAAAUGCUG